rnacentral:tRNA from 1 species
GGUAUUGUGGCCGAGUGGUUAAGGCGGCAGUUUAAGGGACUGUUUCUUCGGAGCGCAGGUUCGAAUCCUGUCAAUACCA